rnacentral:rRNA from 1 species
UCCUACGGGAGGCAGCAGUGGGGAAUUUUGGACAAUGGGGGCAACCCUGAUCCAGCCAUGCCGCGUGCGGGAAGAAGGCCUUCGGGUUGUAAACCGCUUUUAGCCGGAAAGAAAAGGCGUCUCCUAAUACGGGGCGUUCUUGACGGUACCGGCGGAAUAAGCACCGGCUAACUACGUGCCAGCAGCCGCGGUAAUACGUAGGGUGCGAGCGUUAAUCGGAAUUACUGGGCGUAAAGCGUACGCAGGCGGCUAUGCAAGACAGAUGUGAAAUCCCCGGGCUUAACCUGGGAACUGCAUUUGUGACUGCAUAGCUAGAGUUUGUCAGAGGGGGGUGGAAUUCCACGUGUAGCAGUGAAAUGCGUAGAGAUGUGGAGGAACACCGAUGGCGAAGGCAGCCCCCUGGGACCUGACUGACGCUCAUGUACGAAAGCGUGGGGAGCAAACAGGAUUAGAUACCCUGGUAGUCCACGCCCUAAACGAUGUCGACUAGUUGUCGGAGGCUUGCGCCUUCGGUAACGCAGCUAACGCGUGAAGUCGACCGCCUGGGGAGUACGGUCGCAAGAUUAAAACUCAAAGGAAUUGACGGA